rnacentral:miRNA from 1 species
GCAGACACAUUCCAGCCAAUCAGCAGCAGACCCUCCCUCCCAGACCCUCCCACGUCCUGGACAGCAUCCAUUUUACAUUUAUUGUGAAGCUGCAUUCUUAGUGAGCUGUCCAGGAGGUGGGAGGGUCUGGGAGGGAGGGUCUGCUGCUGAUUGGCUGGAAUGUGUCUG